AACGAACGCUGGCGGCGUGCUUAACACAUGCAAGUCGAACGCGAAAGGGACUUCGGUCCUGAGUAAAGUGGCGCACGGGUGAGUAACGCGUAGAUAACCUGUCUUCAUGUCUGGAAUAAUACGCCGAAAGGGGUACUAAUACCGGAUAUUCUGCUUUUCAUAAGUUAUGCAAGCAAAGGUGGCCUCUGCAUAUGCUACUGCAUGAAGAGGGGUCUGCGUACCAUUAGCUAGUAGGUGGGGUAAUGGCCUACCUAGGCGACGAUGGUUAGCGGGUCUGAGAGGAUGAUCCGCCACACUGGCACUGGAACACGGGCCAGACUCCUACGGGAGGCAGCAGUGAGGAAUAUUGCGCAAUGGGGGAAACCCUGACGCAGCGACGCCGCGUGAGUGAAGGAAGGCCUUCGGGUCGUAAAGCUCUGUCAAGAGGAAAGAAGUGUACAAUGGCUAAUACCUGUUGUAUUUGACGGUACCUCUAAAGGAAGCACCGGCUAACUCCGUGCCAGCAGCGGC
rnacentral:rRNA from 1 species